GCUUUCUCUCUUGUAUAGUGGCGAUCGAUCCCCUUCCCCACCUACUACUCUUCUUCCCCCCUCAUCCCGGUCCCCUUUCUCCCUUGUGGCGAUCGAUCCCCUUCCCCUAGGGUUCUGGCCAUCACAUCCACUCCUCAACCGCCCGGGGAGCCAAGAUCAGCUCCUCGACCACAGGAGGAACCAAGCCCCGAUCCUCUACCGCUGGAGGGACCAAACCCCGCUCCUCCACUGCGGACGGGAACGAGUUCCCCAGCGAGGACGACAGUAGCGAGCUCCACCCCAGGACUGGUGGCCAUGACGAGGGAGCGAAGUACUGGCAAGAAGCGGUCAGGGACCAAGCGGAACCAGGGCGGCAGCAGAGGGAACGAGGAGGAGAAGCCCGUGCCUGGGGCGAAGGAGGAGAAGCUGCCACCGAAGCUGUCCACCGACGCUCUGUUUCCAGGGGACAAGGGAGAGAUCAGGGCCAUGGAGGGGAAGAAGCCAACGCCGCAGAUGGUGUUCAUGGCAGAGAAGGAGGAGACAGUAAACAACGAAUCAGGGGUUUGGAAGAGAAAUCAGUCUACGGAUGUGGCGUCUCCUGGGGACAGCGGAGGAAUCACGAGGAGAGAUGGCAAGGGGGUGAAGGAGAAAAAGCCGGCAGCAAAGACUCACAACAACGACAGCAGAGCGAAGCGGCACCAGGGCGGCAGCAGAGGGGAGGAGGAGAAGCCAGUGCCUGUGGCGAAGGGGAAGAAACUGCCACCGAAGCACUCCACGUACGCUCUGUUCCCAGUGGACAAGGGAGAGAGUAGGGGGGGUGAGGGUGAGAAGCCAGCACCACAGAUGGUGUUAACGGCAAAGCAGGAGGAGGUGGUAAACGCCGAGGCAGGGAAGAAGCGGAAGCAAUCCCCAGAGGAGGAUGAGGGGCAGAGCAGAGGGGUGAAGCCAUUAGGAACCAGGCACAUGGAGAAGUUGGAAGCAGAGAUACAGGUGCUGCCCGAGGAGGUGGUAAACACCAAGGCAGGGAAGAAGCGGAAGCAAUCCCCAGAGGAGGAUGAGGGGCAGAGCAGAGGGGCGAAGUCAUUAGGAACCAGGCACAUGGAGAAGUCGGAAGCAGAGAUACAGGUGCUGCCAAAGGGCGAUAAUGUCGAUGGCAAAGAGAAGAAAAAGAAAGGGAAAAGAAUCCGGAGGAGUAAACUAAAGAAGGACCGGCUUAUCACCCGCGCUGCACAACGAAAUAUGUUUGGAUCGGCUUUGAAGGAUGAAUUUCCUGUGUUAAAAGAUGGCUCAAAACCAAAAGUACUGAUAACAGCAUGCCAGUAUAUUAUGGACAAGCAAGGACCUUCAUCUUCAUUUAUUCAUGAGCUAAUGCAACUCAUUCCAGAUGCAUGCUAUAUUCAUCGGACGAAUGUUUGCCUCGAUGAAGUGGUUGAGUAUGCGAAUGAAAGAAAAUUUACUUCACUUAUUGUUGCUCUUUCUGAUGGCUUAAAAAUUAUCAACUUGCCUGAUGGUCCCCUUGCACACCUUGAGCUCUCUGAGUUUACUCCACGAAAGGACAUAAAGAAUCAUGGGGAGCCAAUAAGUCGUGAGCCAGAGUUAGUGUUUAAUAAUUUUGAAGCACAUCUUGGCUAUCGUCUUCAAAGGUUGAUAUCGUCUCUUUUCCCUCAAGCUGAUUUCAAUAAACGGCAAGUGUUCACAUUUGAACUGAAGCAACAGCAUAUACUGUUCCGUAAUCACAGCAUUGAGAACAGCGAGGAUCAAAAUUCUGUUGUGCAAGUGUGCAUAGUAAAUGCUAAUCUGUGGUCGUACGAGAUGGCAUUGAGGGCUAGAAAUUAUAUUGACCCACUACACGAUGAAGCAAGAUUAAGGAAUACAAGAAAAUGGGAGUGGGUAUGGUUUUACACUUUACCUCGAACAGUUGGUGGGUGAGUAAAUGGGAGGAUAGGCUCUCCUACUGACCUUGCCCAAAUGUGGAUCAAAGAGAGGGAUUAUGGGGCAACAUACAGGGGCCGGCAGUGUUGGCCUUCUCAUCAGAUUGAGGUGGGCGGAAACGUGGUUGGGCCUAGAGAUAUUGGGACAGGGGCAGAGGAUGAAACGACAUGCAAUGCAAGACAAAAGGAUGGUAGGGACAUAAGUCGAAUUAUGAGCAGUGCGAAACCGGGUCAAAGCGACUUAUUAUCACCAGCAACUGAAAAAUUUCAUUUUCUACAUACAUUUUAUGUAGUGGAUUACAUACAUCUACCUUAAUGAAGGAAAUCAUAUAUGUUUGUUCUCCAGUUAAUAAUGGGUGCAUUUCCUUAUUAUAUGGUACUUGUAUGAAAUGAAAGAAGAAUUGAGGGAUGGAAAUACUGGUACUUUUCCAGGAGUCAAAUUGAAAGCUUCUGAUGUAACUUGUCACCUACUAGAAUGUGGACCUCGUUUCACUCUUAGACUGACUGCCCUGGAAUGCGGCCUGUCCGUCGGAAAAAAAGGAAAGUUUGAGUGGCAUUGGAAUACGUCUCUGGAAUCUUCUGAGGCGCUACCAGGGCGCUGAGCUUUUGGCCUGUCUAUUUGUCAGGAGAAUAUUUUUGCAAACUCUUCAUUAGACAUUAGACACUAGCUGUAGCCAAUUUUUGCAUCACACAUUGCUGUUAAUAUUACUACUGCUGACAUUGAUGCGUCUACCAGUCAGUACUGCACCAAAUUAGUUUAGAUUUCUUCAUCCUCUCUUUUUAUUAUAUGAAAAGUGUGUUUUUGAAGCAAGAUGGCUGCACUGUACGAUGACUACAUGGUUAGCUGUAAACCUAAGGAGGUGUUUGUUUCGAGCUACUGUAAGGUAAUCGAAUUACAGCGUUAACAGGUCCCACUAAAUCGUGUUUGUUUCCCUUGCUCUGUAAUCCGAUAACAUGGUAUCAAAUCCCAGCCUAAUACAAAACCGAUACCGCUGGAAAUCUGCUGUAACAGAUUACGUUGCAGCCAUCUCCUCUCCACACCAGGUGCGAUGCCA
rnacentral:rRNA from 1 species